GGUUGGUCUGAGUGCAGUGGUGCUUACACUGCACUAAUUGGUCACAACCAAUUACAGAUUUAUUUGUUCAUUUUCCACUCCGACUGCUUCAGUUGACUGGCCAAAA
rnacentral:Y_RNA from 1 species